GCCGGUGUAGCUCAGCGGUUAGAGCGCUUGAUUCCUGCACUAAUUGAUGCGGGAAAGCGAAACUCAUAAGGCGCUGCUUAAUGCUUGGGAAAUCAAGUGGCCGAGAGUUCAAAUCUCUCCACCGGCA
rnacentral:tRNA from 1 species